CAAAGCGUCAUAUAACUGACGGGAUCCAUAUAACUGCUCUCUAAGACCCUCUUCAACUCUAACCAUUUUCUUCUCCGAUCAAUCCUCUGCUACGCUGAGAUUCUACCUCCUUUACGGGUACCUUUCAGCCACAAAGAGACUCAGAGAUUUAUUGCAUGUAUCUUUUUAUUUUUUGUUGAGAUUAACAUUAUCAACAGUAAUACUAGCAUGUUUUUGUCUUGACGUUGUGGAAGUGUAUCUUUUCUUAAAUCAAAACUUAAAAGAAUCUCAUAAUUUAAGUAUGUGUUUGAACCCAACAAUCGUUUAACCAAAACCUAGAAUCCCAAAAUCCAAGGGCGAGAAGAAAUCAAUAAGGGAGAGAGUUUUACCGAGUGUGAUAAAGAUUUGAAGGUAUAAAGUUUCAUGCUUACGUCAUGCAUCUCUGUAUAAAAUUCUUCUUUUUUUUCCAUUUUUUCCAUAGCAGGCCUUAUAUUGGGUUUUCCCCUUUUUGGGAUUCAGUUGUCGGAGUCGAAGCAACAAUCUAUUGGAUCACAGGAACUCCACAGAAUAUUUUUUUUCUCUUUCUUCUGAUACAUAUAAUAUUGUACAACCAAUUGUCAUCCGCGACUCUCAUGUUCUGUAGCCUCAAUGUUACAACAAAGUUAUGUCAAAAUUAGGCAGGAUAUGAGGCGGCAGUCAAAUAAAACUAGGGAAACAAUAGUAAUACUUAUUGUGCCACAACUAGAGGCUAUAGUGAGGUUGAGGUGUUGCUCUGCUUUUGGAUUGAGACCCUUUUAUGGGGAAUGUAAAUGGAAGUUGAAAGUUCGGGUUGUUUGUCUAUGGGCAGUACCAGAUCGUUACAAUUCAGACGCUAUUUUCUCAAUUGAAUUGGUUCUACAAG